AAGUUCCCUGUCUCCAGCCCUCCUCACUUCUGCCUUCCAAAUUCUUGCAAACGUACUUUUUGGUCUUGUGUGCCUACACUAGUGCCAUUUAAUAGAGCUGUUAUAGAUUUCAAUUGAGCAUGAGAGAUAGUCACUGUUAGACAAUGGUCAUCAUGUCUAUUACAUGAAUGUAGCAGUGGAUGGUCAAAGUUGAGAGAUCAAGAGUUCAGGUGAACACUUUUUGUGUCUUGUCCAAAUUGUGUGUAUUCUUGAAAUCACUGCCUUGGUGAAUUUGAUUGGGCAACUUCCUGACUAAUUUGAGAUUUUGGUUAGAAAGCAUAUUAGUUACUUCCAAAGGGGAAGCACAAUAAGAUUUCAAAUUGUUUUAGGAUGUUAACAUGAAGACCUUGAUCUGGAUGUUAUUAAUUAAAAGUGUUGUUUUUUUUUU
rnacentral:misc_RNA from 1 species